UAUUCAUGAGUUAUGUGCCAGUUAAUGGAUUACAAUUAAUCUACUGAUCAUAUUCACAUUCAACAAGUGUCUAGUUCAGUAGGUCCAUGUAGCUGAAACUCAUACAGUCUGAUCUGCAAGAGUCCUGUCUGAUUGUUGUUGAAGUUGUUAGUCUGUCUUUACAGCCUUAUUGUGUUUAUACCUGUGCUCUUGCAAAUUAUUACUGACUUCCAAAGAGGAAAGAGUUGUAGAAGAGGUCAGUGCUUUAAAUCAAAUCACAAGUUGGAAGCUUAGUGGUGGCAACAUUAUAGUAAUGUGACUGGUGUAGUUUGUUUAUAUCUUUACAUUGACUUUUUUUCUGGUGAUUGUAUUCAGGUAUCAAAUAUCAUAAAAAUGUUACUCACUUGUGAAGAUCGUCUUAAAGUUUAUAAUCCAAUAAUUUGUAAGAUAACUGAAAAAUCCCUUCAAUUUUUUUGUCAAGGUAGCUAUACGUCAUCCCUGCAGCACUGUAUUGUUGAUACUGUUUUAGAGAGUUAAUGUUCAUCUUUAUGCAGGGUUUUACGUACCAUUGUAAGGUUUGGGUGCAGAACUCAAGCCAGUGACCGUAAACUGCCUUAGUGUUUUUCACAUUAAAAUGUGGAAAAGGCUUCUCAGUGUGACAUAACACACUCCAAGAUUUGCAGGAAUGAAACAAAUGAUAAAUAAGUGGACAGUAUGAUCAGUGAUUGUUUAGAAGUGUGAUUUUAUGAUUUGAAAACAAAGGAUACAUGCACAGGACUAACUUUCCCUUCUCUUUAUUAUAGUGAGUUAUAAAGGUAGAAACAUCAUCAUUUAUGUUAAUUUAGACUUUUUACAACCAAAGGUAGCUCAAAUUUAACUGAUUUUCAAAAAGAAAUGCAAAUAAAUGCACGUUUCCAUCCACUGCUGCUCUGUGAAUAUGAGGAUCUGGUGGAGUCUCUAGUCAGAUCUUUGUGUACAAAUCAAAUUGAAUUCUUGAACUAGCUCAGUCCCAGUCCUGUCUGAUUAGUCCAGUACCAAUUAGUCUUCGCACUGCUUUCUUUGUGGGUGUAGUGUCUUUUACUCCUCUACCUUUUGAUGGUUUGAACUUCAAUACCCAGAAAGCCUGUGUGCUUUUAUUUUGAGGUGUUAAACAGUUGUAGCCUUAUAUUAAUGCUUGUUUGUGAUUUUUCUCCACAGUACUCCAACUUCAACCAGCAAAUCAUGAGAGAGAGAGGAGGCAGACAUAAAGAUUUACAGAAGUCCUGCCUCUAGUCCCAGAUAACACAAAUCCAGACCAGUCAGCACUGAUCGUGCUCAGAGAAGAGUCUUCAGCUAAAGAUCUCAGAGCUGCUCCCUGUGCAGGACCACUGUCACCCAACAGGAGGUGGAAGAGGAGGCAGUCUGCAACACAUACAACACAGCAACAUCAUGUCCUCUGCUAUUUCAGUUAAUGUUGAAUUUGACGACUUGAUGACCACAGUCAAGGUAACCAUAAACAACCAUAACAGUGUUUUUGCAUGUUUACUUACACCUUAUUAUACAAUGACAUUUUUGACCAUUUUUGAUGCCUUACUAUACUAUGACAUGCAGCUUAAGACAACAAAACUGUUGUAGAGCAGCCAUCUUAUCUUUGUUUUCCACAGACAUAAUGACACACUGAGACCUACAUACCUCACCUCACUCCUCUUGUGGGUUAGGUUAGAUUUUGUUUGUCAUUUCAUUUUGGUGUUUAGCUAUUUCUAACAGUGCAAUAUCAGUACUCAAGUCCAGUGUAUUACUGUGUACAUAGUUCUGUUUAUACUGUUCAUAUUGUUUAUAAUUUUUUACAUAUUGUACUUAUUUUGUAUCUUAACUUGUCAAUGUCUUGCCAUUUUCUAUUUUUGUUGCAACACUGUAUUUCCCUGCUAUGUGACUAAAAUGGAUUAUCUUACUCAAAUAAAUUUCUUAAUACUGAA